UUAAAACACAGUCUAAAGAAAUUCAGCUUCCCCAAUAGUCAGAAGGUUUUUGUACCAGCGGUAAUAGGGAUUGUAUCACUGUGGUACACUUUUGGUAGUGGCACCAGACUUGAUGUUGGAAGUAACAGUGCCCCCACCCUCACCGUCCUGCCCCCCUCUAGUGAGGAGCUGUCCAGUACAACAACAGCCACACUGACAUGUCUGGCCAACAAGGGCUUCCCCUCAGACUGGACCAUGAGCUGGAAAGUGGACGGGACCAACAAGAACCAGGAGACCAGUCCCGGGGUCCUGGAGAAGGAUGGUCUGUACAGCUGGAGCAGCACCCUGACUCUCACUGCCCAGGAGUGGACCAAGGCAGGAGAGGUGACCUGUGAAGCCCAGCAGAAAUCCCAGACUCCAGUCACCAAGACCCUGAGGAAGGCUGACUGUUCUGGGUAGGACCCCUCAGUCACACCCCUGUGGAGAGAGGCUGCUGGUUCCUCUGCUUUGACUCUGUUCUGAGAUCAGAUUUUCUCUGCCUUAUUGAUCACUGACAUGUAGACUAACAUAGGGCUUUGCUUGAGUUCAUGUGUCAAUCAUCUCUGUAGACUGAGGUUGUAUCAUUGUUAGAUGUGAUGUGUUCUGUUUUAUUACUAUUAGAUACUGUAGGAAUGUUUGCUUUGAUGAUAAAUAUAUGAAAAUAAAGAUUUCCCUUUGGAACAAAUA